CUUCCAGGCGCGCAUAGUUUGUACGGCUAUGGGGACUCACACCCAGGAAGGAGGGGAGAACAAGAAAACACGUGCCCGUGAAAAUUCACAUAUAAAUGUAUACAGGAAUAUACAUUAUAGGAUACUAUUGAUAUUCAAAGUUUAAAGCAUAAAUAUAUGGUAGAUUAUAAACUCCUUUCAAAGUAUAUCAUUUCUUUAAGUCACAUGUAUGUGAGAUGGGUCACAAGUUAAAGUUUUAACAUCUAUAUUUGAGUCAUUGCUCAUUACAUUGAAUUACAGGGUCUUUUGAAUUAUAAAAUCUCGUUUGCCCUUAUUGGAUUACGUGAACUAGGCUCUCUGGUUCUGUGUUCUUUGUGGGAGAUCUGUACUGAGGAGAACUCAGCAAGGCCGACGCUCUGAAGAACUGUGUGCUCAUCGUCCGCUGUGGCGGAGGAACAGCCAGACCAGAGCCUGUAGGUUCAGGAACAGUGUGGGAGGGGCCAGUGCGUCUGCGGGAGUGAGCAAGUAGGCCAGUCCCAGGCAGUGGGGAGGCGCUAGGGCCAGGGUUUGGGGUGUAGGUCACGUGGAGCCUUGCAGGAUGUUUUAGGGGCGUCUUCAGUAGGACACUGACCCAUGAGAGGCCCGAUGUCCACACUCCGGUGUGUGGUACGACCUGAUGUCUGUGCCUCCUUGCAAUACAACGUUUUGUUUUUCAACAUUACCAGGUACAAAUACUCUCUCUGCAGCAGUUACUGCUACACUGUCCCCAGUCUUUCUCCUGCCCAAACAGAAAGAUAGAAAAAGGGGAGACUUUUCUUUCUAUUU